AGGGAAGAUGCGGUGAACUUGGACCAAAGGCAAGUAAACUGAGAACUCCGUGGACUGAGAAGUGAACAAACAAUGAUUCGGCACGGUUUUCGUGGCUAAAUAUGUCAAGAUAAUUCAGCACGGGAGCUGUUCAUGAAGAGGAUCGAACCAAAUCUGAUUUUCAAGAGCCACCUUCAUAUCCUGCUGGGACCUACAAAACUGCCACUGUAUCCACCGUGACGGUGAAGAAUAAGGAAGCUCAACCAUGGCUGCACAUGGAGCAUAAUCCAAGAUGAUGGCAUUGGCAGCAUUCUGACGGCAGUCCGCACAAAUUGCUGCACCUAACAGGAUUAUCAAACAACUGAAAGAAGAGGGAAAAAAAUAAUCAAAGCCUGGGGACGCAACACUGCUGAUGCCAUGGUGAUGAGCGAUUCAUGGACCCGCCCUUCAAGGAAACAGUGACCAUAACG